rnacentral:RNase_P_RNA from 1 species
GGAGCCGGCCAGGCAAUCGCUCUGGCGGCCGCGAGGCCGCCGGGGAGGAAAGUCCGGGCUCCGCAGGGCAGGGUGCCAGGUAACGCCUGGGGGGCGCGAGCCUACGGAAAGUGCAACAGAAAGCAAACCGCCCCACUCAAGCGAGCGGGGUAAGGGUGAAAAGGUGCGGUAAGAGCGCACCGCGCAGGUGGUAACACGCUGCGGCUAGGUAAACCCCACCCGGAGCAAGACCAAGUAGGAAAGCGAUACCGUGGCCCGCGGUGCUUUCGGGUAGGUCGCUCGAGGCCAUUGGCGACAAUGGUCCCAGAUGAAUGAUUGCCCACGACAGAACCCGGCUUAUCGGCCGGCUCCCACC